GAAUUUAAUUGAUGCUGAUCUUCAUUUCUAAUUUAACAUUUUUUAUUUAUUUAUUUUUGAGCUACAAAAAAUGUAAAUUGAAAUUAAAUGUAGAGAAUAAGAAUUAGAAUUUUAUUUAAUGUACAUGCAUACUUCAAGGCCAGCAUGCAUUGCGACGGUCAACAAACAGGUAAUAAUGGAGAGAUCCAGGCACUGGCACACAGACAAGAGGAAAUUUAAAAAGAUUUGGCAAGUUGACUUUUUAUUUACUGAAAUCAAUUCAAAGGCAGUGUGUCUAGUUUGCAAGCAGUCCGUUGCUGUUUUGAAAGAGUACAAAACCCGUCAAUAUGAAACAAAACGUUCUUCAGCUUUCUCAAAGGACAGCGGCGAGGCAUGAAAACAGAAGGCUAACGAGCUGCUUGCUAAACUUCGAUCUGAGCAGAGCGCGCUGCUACAUCCUUCAUCAGCUCAAGAAAGUGCCACACGGGCCAGCUAUCAGAUUUCCUGUAUUUUACAUCAAGAACAGCUAUGUGCCCAAUCCAUCGGGCUUGUGGAUGUGAUGCGUGACGUCGUCAAAAUUGUGAAUGAUAUACGCUCCAAGGCGCUCUCUCACCUGCAGUUCAAGGAAAUGUAGCCCAUUUUCCCUGUUUUAGAGAGGCAGGCAUGAUGAAAGAGAAGGUACCUGAGUAUGAUGCUGUUCUCAGCAACCUUUUCCAGGAGUUUGACAGUCGCUUUGAGGACUUCAGACACAAUGCUUCUGACUUUGAGUGGUUUGUUCAACCCUUCACCAUCAGUGUGGACACAGUCAGUGAUGAUCUACAGAUGGAACCAAUUGAGCUUCAGUGUGAUUCAGAACUCAAACACAAGUUCAGGUCCCUUCCCUUGACAGAUUUCUACAAACGUGUCCCCACAAACAGGUACAGAUGUGCAAACAGGCACAAGUGAUGCUGUCUCUGUUUGGCAGUACCUACCACUGUGAACAGACUUUCAGUCUGAUGAACUUAAACAAGUGUAAACUGAGAUGCAAACUAACUGACUCUCACCACCAUAAUAUCCUGACUUUGACAGUAAGUCCACUGCAUCCCAAUUUGGAAAAAUGUUUGAAAAAUAAGGACCAGCUUCAUGUGUCUCAUUAGAGGUCACUGAUAUUGCAGGCAUGUGGCUGUAUUGCUUAUACCUUGAAUAGUUGUAUUAGGUAUUGAACAUGUAUUAUAAAUGGGAUUGGUUCUAUGUUUUAAUUAUACUAUAAGUUUCAUUGAACUAUAGAACUCUGAAAAUAAAACUGCAUUAGUCAAGCAGA